ACGUAUAACAUAUCACUUAAAUAUUUUUAAACAUUUUACCCUUCACUCAAUUUACAGAAAGCUAGCAAAUAUCGCAGUUUGAUACUUCUUUAAUAUAUCUAUAUAGAAUCAGCAUAUUUUUCUUCUUCGACGACGAAAACCAGCAGGAUCCAUCCCAUUCGAUCCGACAGAAUUGAAUUCAUUGAAAGCGGGGAAAAAUGGAAUACUGAGAUUUUGUAAAAGGCAGAGCGUGCCUACUCAGACCCCAUAAAUAAAUAUAUUCUAGAUCAGCAUCAACAGACGCGAAUUGAAUUUGGAAUCUGAAUUAUUUAGUCCUGCAAACAAAAUGUGUCCAAAUGUUACUUAGCUACAGAUAAAUUGAAUAUGAUUCAUCCGAGUAACAAAUACGUAAGACAUAAUGUUUGGCGUUUCUUUCCAAUUCUUUCCAGAUCACGUAAUUAAAAGACAACGUGCAAAUGUAUUUUAUUAAAUUUUUAAUCAUUGAUAAAAUAAAUCACUUAUCUAAUCCUUUAAGUCAGCCCAGUCCAGCAGAGUCUUACGUUUACCAGGCAGAGCAAGACAGACCAGCAGCAUCAAUCCCAUGUUGAGUAACAUUUUAAAGCUAUGAAUUUCAAAUAAUUGGAAGAGAGUUCCGGGUUUGUUUAAUAUGCGCCAAUUGUUUUUAAACACAUAUGCAUAGCUAAUUGUCCGAUUCGACACAAUUGCUUAAAUCCAUUGAAAGCGCAAAGAAAUGGCAUACUGGUUUUGUAAAAGGCAGAACGUGCCUACUUAGAUCCCAUAAAUAAAUAUAUAUUUGAAAUCAGCAGCAACAGACGAGAGUUGAUUAUGUUACAGAGUCCGAAUAUUUUAGUCCUUCAAAUGUUUCACAUAAAAUAUUGUAAAAACUAUCCAUCUGACUUUUGUAGUUUUCGAAAUAUCCGCAUUCACACAGUUAUAAAGACAGAUGAAUAUAGCUAAAUCGAACUUGUCGUUCUGGUCAAGAAUAUUAAUAUAUAUUCAGGAAAUAUCGCAUGCCGUAAUUGCUAUUGCAAGAGGACCAUGUAUGUUUUUUGCCAGGAUAUUUAUUAGUCUUGCCAAACUCUUUGCAGGAUGAUUUUGCAAAAUAAUAUGCCAUCUAUAGGGCGUUGGGUGUCUAGUUGGAUGUGCAGCACAAAUAAAUUUGUUUGUCGAAAAAUGCGCUGUCUGGGCAAGAAAUAAGAAA